AUUGAACGCUGGCGGCAGGCCUAACACAUGCAAGUCGAGCGGUAGCACAGAGAGCUUGCUCUCGGGUGACGAGCGGCGGACGGGUGAGUAAUGUCUGGGAAACUGCCUGAUGGAGGGGGAUAACUACUGGAAACGGUAGCUAAUACCGCAUAACGUCGCAAGACCAAAGUGGGGGACCUUCGGGCCUCAUGCCAUCAGAUGUGCCCAGAUGGGAUUAGCUAGUAGGUGGGGUAACGGCUCACCUAGGCGACGAUCCCUAGCUGGUCUGAGAGGAUGACCAGCCACACUGGAACUGAGACACGGUCCAGACUCCUACGAGAGACAGCAGUGGGGAAUAUUGCACAAUGGGCGCAAGCCUGAUGCAGCCAUGCCGCGUGUGUGAAGAAGGCCUUCGGGUUGUAAAGCACUUUCAGCGGGGAGGAAGGCGGUGAGGUUAAUAACCUCAUCGAUUGACGUUACCCGCAGAAGAAGCACCGGCUAACUCCGUGCCAGCAGCCGCGGUAAUACGGAGGGUGCAAGCGUUAAUCGGAAUUACUGGGCGUAAAGCGCACGCAGGCGGUCUGUCAAGUCGGAUGUGAAAUCCCCGGGCUCAACCUGGGAACUGCAUUCGAAACUGGCAGGCUAGAGUCUUGUAGAGGGGGGUAGAAUUCCAGGUGUAGCGGUGAAAUGCGUAGAGAUCUGGAGGAAUACCGGUGGCGAAGGCGGCCCCCUGGACAAAGACUGACGCUCAGGUGCGAAAGCGUGGGGAGCAAACAGGAUUAGAUACCCUGGUAGUCCACGCCGUAAACGAUGUCGAUUUGGAGGUUGUGCCCUUGAGGCGUGGCUUCCGGAGCUAACGCGUUAAAUCGACCGCCUGGGGAGUACGGCCGCAAGGUUAAAACUCAAAUGAAUUGACGGGGGCCCGCACAAGCGGUGGAGCAUGUGGUUUAAUUCGAUGCAACGCGAAGAACCUUACCUGGUCUUGACAUCCACAGAACUUUCCAGAGAUGGAUUGGUGCCUUCGGGAACUGUGAGACAGGUGCUGCAUGGCUGUCGUCAGCUCGUGUUGUGAAAUGUUGGGUUAAGCCCCGCAACGAGCGCAACCCUUAUCCUUUGUUGCCAGCGGUUAGGCCGGGAACUCAAAGGAGACUGCCAGUGAUAAACUGGAGGAAGGUGGGGAUGACGUCAAGUCAUCAUGGCCCUUACGACCAGGGCUACACACGUGCUACAAUGGCAUAUACAAAGAGAAGCGACCUCGCGAGAGCAAGCGGACCUCAUAAAGUAUGUCGUAGUCCGGAUUGGAGUCUGCAACUCGACUCCAUGAAGUCGGAAUCGCUAGUAAUCGUAGAUCAGAAUGCUACGGUGAAUACGUUCCCGGGCCU
rnacentral:rRNA from 1 species